rnacentral:misc_RNA from 1 species
AAGUCGUAACAAGGUUUCCGUAGGUGAACCUGCGGAAGGAUCAAUAUCGAUUUAGUGGGUUCUCCCUCUAAUUCCACACUGUGAUUUAAGCAUCCAUCAUUCAUUGAUCGAUGUGAAACACUUUUCAUAUUUAUAUGAAUUAAAUUUAAAACUUUCAACAACGGAUCUCUUGGUUCUG